AUGCCUCCAGAGAAGAUAAGGAUCCAUGCAACAAACGUCGAUGCUGCAGCAAGAGAGAUAAUCGGUGUUUUGGAGGAUACAAGCAAAGGAAAUGUGAUCUACUUCAAGGGCUCAAAAGGAUUGGGAGCAUCCUCAAUUCUCAAUCUGGUAGCCCAACGCCUGAAAUCAUCAACAAGAUCGAACAAGUUUGAUAAGGUUAUCCAUGUGGACUGCUUCGUGUGGAAAAGCAUGAGAGCCCUGCAAAAGGCAAUCGCGGAGGAGUUAGAGCUUCCACGUUCAGUGAUGGCCAUCUUUGAUCGGUGCGAGGAGGAGGACGAUUUCAAUGGUAUGGAUCAAGGUUCCAGAGGGGUGAUAGCAGAUAUUAGAAUAGAAAUAUUCAGAAAGCUUUAUAACAGUAGAUUUGUGGUGGUUUUUCACAACGGAAGCAACAGAUACAUUGAUUUGUAUGAGUGUGGCAUCCCAGUAAUAUCACUUUUGAGUAACAAGGUAUUGUGGACCUGGCACGGGAGGUUUCGGAGCAAUGUCAUACUAGAAGAAGGGGAAAAGGAAAAGAUGAAGAGUCAGACAGAUGUUCGCUUAUCUGCUUCUCCUGAAUUUGAAGAUGAGGAAGUGCGAGAUCUACUGCAUGAAGAGGCUUUGCAGGUUGCCAAGUGCACGGGGAUUUCUCAGCCGGACAACAUAAACCACAAGAUAGUCAUGGAGUGCUUCAUAUACCAGGCACUGGUUGCUAUGGACUUGCGGACACAUGCACCAAACUAUUGGAUCUGUGAUGGUAUUAUAGAGGGCCAAAACAAUAGAUCGGCAUGGGAGAUUGGCAAUUCUCUGAAGAGAAACAUGAGCUUGGAAUUGGAUUCAUCUGUUAUACGAUCUGAUGAGGCUGCAGCUUUUUUGCUAGAUGUAUUGAAUGAUUCACAUGUUAACCGCUGGAAUUUCACCACCCACAAAGAACUGCGAAAUGAUAACACUCAUGUGUUGCCUCCUCAGGUCACAUCGUUCUUCCUUUCUGCAGAUGAACUAUCAACAAAUACAACAUCAAUAUUGCCAGUUGGCAUCUUCCAACAUUCACAAAGCAGCAAGCUACGUGUGUUACAUCUGUCUCAUUGCACCUUCAGUUUUGCAUCUCCUCCCUUCGUCCAUUGUGCCCAACUAAGAUUGCUCCAUUUGGACCAUUGCACAAAUAUCACAGAUGAUGAUGAGCAUCCAAGCCGGAAUGAAGACAUGUCAUGUUUCCAGAAGCUAUGGGUGAUGGAUUUGAGGUAUACAGAAUGGUACUGGCUACUGUCGGAAAAGAUGAAGAGGUUGAUGGUCGACCUCAGGGAGCUGAAUGUGGAAGGAGUCAAGCAUGGGAGCAUAAGUGAUUUGUGUGGCGGCAGACCAAGCCUUGUAGUACUUCGCGUAACAGUAGCUGAUCCGGUCUGUAUGGAGAACGAAGACACAAGUAAUCAAGCACAGUUCCCCAAUAUGUCCAGUACAAACAGUGUUACAAUACCUAGCUACAUCAACAACGUCCUGCCUCCAUUGCUUGAGUCAUUUAGCUUCGUCAACAAAGCUGCAACUCCUGCCAAGAUAUCUAGCAUCUCCUUCCGGGGUUGUUCUCAGUUGAAGAGUGUACUUCUCAGGGGAAAUUUGGGGAACCUGGAGGAGCUGGACCUCUCGGGCACAACAGUGAAAACCCUUGACCUCAGAGAAGUGGAAGCUCCAUACCUCAAGCAUCUCAUGCUGCUGGACUGCGAGAAGCUCCGUGCAAUAUUAUGGCCACCAGAAGAUAAAAUGACAUGGGUUUUGGAGAAGUUGCAAAUCAGCACCGUCCAAUCUGCAUCACCUAGCCAGAAUAAUUGGGAAGAGAAGAUCAAGGAGGCUAGUCCUACUGCAGGAUCAUCAUCUAUCCUUAUAUUUGGGGCUUCACCAUUAGGCACCAGGCGAAUUGCAUCUUUUGACUUCAAUUGGAACAUAUCUGUUGCGGAUGCAAGGCUCAUGUGGUCGCUUCUGCCCUUUCAGAAAGAAAUUAGGGAAAACUAUGUAUACAUGGAGAUUGAUUCAUCUCCUGCCAGUGGAGCUGCUGUUGGUCGCCGUGAAGUUGCUCAAGGUAUCGGGAGCCAGCAGCAGUUUUGCUCAAUACUUAUAUGCAAGUGA
rnacentral:rRNA from 1 species